rnacentral:rRNA from 1 species
CCUACGGGAGGCAGCAGUGAGGAAUAUUGGUCAAUGGACGAGAGUCUGAACCAGCCAAGUAGCGUGAAGGAUGACUGCCCUAUGGGUUGUAAACUUCUUUUAUAAAGGAAUAAAACGAGGCACGUGUGCCUUUUUGCAUGUACUUUAUGAAUAAGGAUCGGCUAACUCCGUGCCAGCAGCCGCGGUAAUACGGAGGAUCCGAGCGUUAUCCGGCUUUAUUGGGUUUAAAGGGAGCGUAGAUGGGUUUUUAAGUCAGUUGUGAAAGUUUGCGGCUCAACCGUAAAAUUGCAAUUGAUACUGGCAGUCGUGAGUACAGUUGAGGUAGGCGGAAUUCGUGGUGUAGCGGUGAAAUGCUUAGAUAUCACGAAGAACCCCGAUUGCGAAGGCAGCUUACUAAACUGUGACUGACAUUGAUGCUCGAAAGUGUGGGUAUCAAACAGGAUUAGAGACCCUUGUAGUC